CAAAAGGCAGAGCUCUUCCUUUUGUUGAUGUUGGAAUUGAGCCACACAGACAUGUCCUUCCAUAAUUAUCUACCAGUUGCUUGCAGCUCAUGCUUUUUAACCACUAGCAUUGUGUGUUGCCCACACACCCUGCCAUGUGAGGCUGGAACAUGGUCUGGUAUGGACCCGGAGCUCAGCCCAUUUUGAAAUGGGAAGGUGCUUCGUAGAGCUGGACAUGUGGGAAAGCAGGGCUAAGAGUCCUGGGCCAGGCCAAUGCAGUGACUCAAGAAGAAGCUGAAGUGCUCCUCAGGCCUUGUGAACUGACCGAAGCAACUG
rnacentral:lncRNA from 1 species